CCUACGGGUGGCUGCAGUGGGGAAUAUUGCACAAUGGGGGAAACCCUGAUGCAGCGACGCCGCGUGAGUGAAGAAGUAAUUCGUUAUGUAAAGCUCUAUCAGCAGGGAAGAAAAUGACGGUACCUGAGUAGGAACCCCCGGCUAACUACGUGCCAGCAGCCGCGGUAAUACGUAGGGCGCAAGCGUUAUCCGGAUUUACGGGGUGUAACGGGUGCGUAGACGGCAGUGCAAGUCUGGAGUGAAAGGCGGGGGCUCAACCCCCGGACUGCUCUGGAAACUGGCCGUCUGGAGUGCAGGAGAGGUAAGUGGAAUUCCUAGUGUAGCGGUGAAAUGCGUAGAUAUUAGGAGGAACACCAGUGGCGAAGGCGGCUUACUGGACUGUAACUGACGUUGAGGCUCGAAAGCGUGGGGAGCAAACAGGAUUAGAUACCCUUGUAGGC
rnacentral:rRNA from 1 species